UUGACCUCGGAUCAGGUAGGACUACCCGCUGAACUUAAGCAUAUC
rnacentral:rRNA from 9 species